rnacentral:rRNA from 1 species
UACGUAGGGACCGAGCGUUGUCCGGAAUCAUUGGGCGUAAAGAGCGUGUAGGCGGCUUUACAGGUCCGUUGUGAAAACUCGAGGCUCAACCUCGAGACGCCGGUGGAAACCGUAAGGCUAGAGUCCGGAAGAGGAGAGUGGAAUUCCUGGUGUAGCGGUGAAAUGCGCAGAUAUCAGGAGGAACACCGGUGGCGAAGGCGGGUCUCUGGGCCGAUACUGACGCUGAGGAGCGAAAGCGUGGGGAGCGAACAGG